GCUGGUUGGACUUCAGCUACCAAGACUCUACAGAAUCUAGGAGAAUUAUGUCACAGGGUCAGAUGUGACUCUUAGCCCACAACUUCUCUACCCAAGUGUUUGAAGGAAGCCCAGAGACAUCACAGAUCUUUUCUGAAAUGUCCUGGUUUCUUCUCUGUGCCCAUUUAUAGGGUUUUCUUGGGGAGAGAUCCAGGUCAGAGUAAUUGGGAGAGCUUUCCUGAUGAGCACUUGGAACUGGUCUUUUUAGUAGGCUCUGUGAGGACCCAAUCUCCCGUCAUCCCUGUGUCCUCCACCAAAAAACCCCUUAUUCCAUCCCUCUAUUCCCGAGGACAAUUGUGCUGAUGUGGGUCAGUGAGAUUACUGAACCCUGGUGCUAGGGUUGAGGCUUGUGGUGUGAAAAGCAACACGUUUAAAUACUUUGGCUUCCACAUAGUCAUUUGCUGAGUUUCCACUUUUCUCUUUGGCUGCUUGCUCCCACCAUCCCUGGGAUUCUCCAGGCAAGAGUACUGGAGUGGGAUGCCGCAUGCUAUUUAAAAAAAAGCCUCCUUUAGGCUUCUCAAACAACUUGUAUAAGUUCUCAGCCUAUACUGGGGAGGCAUAAACCAAAUUAAAGUGGAAGUUCACAGAGGACAGAGAUCCCCACUGGUUCCAGCCCCUAGAGGCCUUACCAAUUUAC
ensembl:lncRNA